CUGGACGGCUUCAGACGCCUCUGGACGUCAAAAAAAUUGACUGGGGGUCAAGUGGUCGGAGGUUCAAAUCCUCUCGUCCCGACCA
rnacentral:tRNA from 1 species